rnacentral:rRNA from 1 species
GAUGAACGCUGGCGGCGUGCCUAAUACAUGCAAGUCGAGCGAACAGACGAGGCGCUUGCUCCUCUGACGUUAGCGGCGGACGUGUGAGUAACACGUGUAUCACCUACCUAUAUGUCUGGGAUAACUUCGGGAAACCGGCGCUAAUCCCGGAUAAUCUAUUGCACCGCAUUGUUCAAUAGUGAAAGUCGGUUUUGCUGUCACUUCUAGCUGGUUCCGCGCCGCUUUAGCUAGUUGGUAAGUUCACGGCUUACCAAGGCGACGAUGCGUAGCCGACCUGAGAGGGUGAUCGGCCACACGGGAACGGAGACACGGUCAAGAGUACUAAGGGAGGCAGCAGUAGGGAAUCGUCCGCAAUGGGCGAAAGCAUGACGGAGCAACGCCGCGUGAGUGAUGAAGGUCUUCGGAUCGUAAAAAUCUGUUAUGAGGGAAGAACAAAUGUGUAAGUAGCUAUGCACGUCGUGACGGUACCGAAUCAGAAAGCCACGGCUAACUACGUG